rnacentral:rRNA from 1 species
UACAGAGGUCUCAAGCGUUGUUCGGAUUCAUUGGGCGUAAAGGGUGCGUAGGCGGCGCGGUAAGUCGGGUGUGAAAUCUUGGAGCUUAACUCCGAAACUGCAUUCGAUACUGCCGUGCUUGAGGACUGGAGAGGAGACUGGAAUUUACGGUGUAGCGGUGAAAUGCGUAGAUAUCGUAAGGAACGCCGGUGGCGAAAGCGACGUGCUGGACCUUUACUGACGCUGAGGCGCGAAAGCCAGGGGAGCAAACGGG